UACGAGUACCCCAAGCGUUAUCCGGAAUCAUUGGGCGUAAAGGGUGUGUAGGUGGCACUAUUAGUCUUCUGUCAAAAUCCGGGGCUCAACCCUGGACUCGCAGUGGAAACGGUAGUGCUCGAGGGUGCGAGGGGUGAAUGGAACUCAUGGAGUAGGGGUGAAAUCCGUUGAUAUCAUGGGGAACACCAAAAGCGAAGGCAAUUCACUGGCGCACAUCUGACACUGAAACACGAAAGCGUGGGUAGCGAACGGG
rnacentral:rRNA from 1 species